UGCCUCAUGAUGGCCUCUGCAGGUCAAGC
rnacentral:piRNA from 1 species